CCUACGGGAGGCAGCAGUGAGGAAUAUUGGACAAUGGGCGCAAGCCUGAUCCAGCCAUGCCGCGUGCAGGAUGACGGUCCUAUGGAUUGUAAACUGCUUUUGUACAGGAAGAAACAGUUCUACGUGUAGAACCUUGACAGUACUGUAAGAAUAAGGAUCGGCUAACUCCGUGCCAGCAGCCGCGGUAAUACGGAGGAUCCAAGCGUUAUCCGGAAUCAUUGGGUUUAAAGGGUCCGUAGGCGGUUUAGUAAGUCAGUGGUGAAAGCCCAUCGCUCAACGGUGAACGGCCAUUGAUACUGCUAAACUUGAAUUAUUAGGAAGUAACUAGAAUAUGUAGUGUAGCGGUGAAAUGCUUAGAGAUUACAUGGAAUACCAAUUGCGAAGGCAGGUUACUACUAAUGGAUUGACGCUGAUGGACGAAAGCGUGGGUAGCGAACAGGAUUAGAUACCCUGGUAGUCCACGCCGUAAACGAUGGAUACUAGCUGUUGGAAGCAAUUUCAGUGGCUAAGCGAAAGUGAUAAGUAUCCCACCACGGAGGUAGUCGCGAGAAGAGAAGACGAAGAAGUAGUAGAGNGAGAGAGACGACGACGACGACGAGGGAGGAGGAG
rnacentral:rRNA from 1 species